AAUAUUUGCUGAUCUUUUCCAAAGACAGCAGGUGCUUAUUGCGUAAAGAGCUUAUUGUUCUGCCUGCCGAGGAAGGUGACUUGCAAAGCCUGCAUUUUUCUGUGUAUGGUACUUUCAGGCCCUUUCCGGUAUGCGGAAAGGGCCUUUUUACAUCUCAUU
rfam:Clostridium leptum CAG:27 genomic scaffold, scf271